AAACAUAUGAGGAAAACGGUGUAGGUGGUAAAAUUUAAUCCAGCUUUUUAAAACAGUAUUUUAACUGUCGCAAAUGAUUUUAAUUAAGUGACAAUCAAGGAUUAUGUUUGAUUAAUGCCAAUCAGUAUUAGUUAACAAGUCUCGUGUUAACUCUCCUACUUGUGACAGAUUUGCGUUUUGAACUGCAAGGAUGAACAUUUAUACUUCUUUAACCAUAUCCGGUGAACGCGUUUUGCAUUAAAAUUACUAGUUACAUCUAACUCACAUGCUUGUUUUUACUGGUCGUUUCUUGCCCAAUUGAUUGCAAUAAUACAUCAAUUUUUUCCCGAAUGAUUGAACAUUGAAUUUGAUUUUUGAUGACAAGAUUGAAGCAGAAACCCAAAUAAGCAAAGAAGUAUCCAUAAUUUGACUAACCAUUACACCAAUUUAAAGAUUAAAAGCUGUACACAAUGGAAAAAUCAAAGUUGAACAAGGCACAAAAGUGGUCAAUUGAUAUGAACAAGUUGAACUUGAAAAUUGAACGCAAGUUAUGGCUGUGCGGGUGUAAAAAGAGCAUGAGAGACUUGAAAUGAUGAUGAUGAUGAUAUGGAAUCACAGUUUUCAUACAAAAGAAAUAUUUCUUGGAGAAAGAAAAAGAUUCUCUAAUAAUAUUACAUGAAAAACGUUUUUUUACAACCCCAACAUCAAUUCUGUUCAAAUUGUCGAAGCAUAACUUCAACCAUCCUGGAACCGGGGCUUUGAUGUUCAAGCCUGAGUACCUAUGAGAAAGAGAAAGAAGGAGAAAGAGAAGAUGAUCUUCACAAAAACGAAAUAGAGAGGAAAGAUGAUUAGGGGAGAGAGAGAAAGAGACUUGGAUGAUUUGGAAAGACAUCGUUAAUAUCUCGUAUCCUCAUUUACCUCAUCCACCUUCCAACAACCUGUUGUUACCUUUGUUGUUUUUUCAUACUUGAUUCGCAUCAUCAUCAUCAUCAUCUCUUCUCAUCUUCUUCAUCAUCAACAUUUUCAUCUUAUUCAUCUUUUUUCUGCUCUCAACCUCACUUUACUUCUUCAACUCAACUUUAAAGUUUUAUUUUUUGUUCACAUUGUUCUAACUUUUGUUUCAAUUUUUUGUUAAAAAAUUUGUUUUAAUUUUGUUUUCUCUUUUUUUCCUCUUCUUUUUAUGUUUUCCACCGUUUGAUUGUUUUAAAAUUUUUGUUCCAUUAUUUUUCAUCAAUCUGUUUCUCUCUAUGGCACUGGAAGAAUUCACGGGGACUCAAUGUUAUUCCGUGGUUUCUCUAGUGCUGUGAAGAGCAGCGGGCAAGUUUCAUCAAGAAAUACAUUAGUUUACCAAAAAAUGAUCAAGUUGAAACUGUUUCAAUUCGUCCAAGAAAGAGACCAGCAAAGAAGCCAAUAAUCAAGAGAUUUUUUUUCUGUCUAACCAACACCGCCACCAACUAUCAAAAUGCAGUAAAUUAAUUUCACUUUCAUCAACGAAACAUGAAACAGAGCAAAAAGAAGAAAGAAAAUUAUGCUUUUUUAUAUUCUACGCCGAUUUAUUCUUCUUCUUAUUCUUCAUUGUACAAACCUGUUUUCUUCCAACUUCUAUUCCUUCUCUCCUCUUCUCUUACCUUACCUUUUAUUCGCCUUCUUCUUCUGCCGUGUCCUUCAGGUGACUACAAUUAGUUUUAUGUUUUACCUAUUGUUAGUUCAUUAUAUACUUUGCUUACCUUUUUUGUUCAUCUCUCCGUCAUCUUCCACUCUCAUACUCACUAUCCUUCUCUCUCUCUCUCUCUCUCUCUUCCUUAUCACCAUCAACAUCAAUCUGCUAGAAAAUAUUAUUCAUCUCGUAAUCUUCAACCAAUCUGAACCUUUAUCCUUGGCACUGGAAGAAUUCACCGUUGAUUAGUUAAAAAACUCGUGGGUUCUUGGGUGCCAAAGACUAAGGAUAAGAAUUCAAGAUUAUAAUCAUUUCGAUACGAAUAACUUGAAGUUAAAUUGGUUGAAAAUGAAUCCUUUUUGCCUCUGUUGAAGGAUACAAUUAAAUUGAAACAAUUGAAUACACACUCACACAAAAAACGCAAGUAACAAGCAAAAAUAAUGCAACAGAAGAAGCAACAAAUGCAGAAAAGAUCAAGAUUUAACUUUCCUUUUCUCUCUCCUGUUCCUUUAUCGUCAAUGAUUCAAUACAAAUACACACACACACACAAUUCAAACUUUAUUAAAUUCAUUCCAAGGUCUGUAUGUAUUUAUUUGCCAUUAUUUAUUUUUGCUAUGUGUCUCAAUUACAACCACAACGUUGAACUCAGAAUUGAAAAGCACAAUUAAUCUAACCUUUUUUUAUUUCAUUGUAGCUUUUUUUUCACCGAAAACACAUGUAUUCCAACAUCUUUAUCUUCCUUCCUUUUGUAUUUUUUUCAUCUCUUUUUUUCUCCUUUUCCUCCUUUUUUCUCUCUAGACCUUUAACACCGAUUCCACCGCAACCAGCCAACCUCACAGACGUUUAAACUACACACAUACAUGCAUAAUUCAACCUGAAUCAAUACAAGCUUUUUAUCACCAUUACCUUGAAACGAUUGGGUAAACACAAGCAUUAUUAUUAUGACAAGGUU